rnacentral:rRNA from 1 species
UACGCGGCUGCUGGCACGAGAUUAGCCGACCCUUCCUCUGGACCCGGUCAGUUCUUCCUAGGUCCUGACAGUGGUUUACACGGCGUAACCGCUUCAUCCCACACGCGGCAUUGCUCCGUCACGCUUUCGCGCAUUGCGGAAGAUUCGUUACUGCAGCCUCCCGUAGGAGUCCGGGCAGUGUCUCAGUCCCGAUGCUGCGGGUCAUGCUCUCACACCCGCUACCCGUCUUUGGCUUGGUGAGCCGUUACCUCACCAACAACCUGAUAGGAAUAUCGCCGCUCCCAAGGCGCCGGAGCUUUCCUCCGUGGAGCUUAUCGAGUAUUACCUGGAGUUUCCCCCAGCUAUCCUCGACCUCGGGGUACGUUCGAUACCGUUACUAGCCCUUUCGCCGGUGUCCACCACCGAAGUGGCUUCUCCCGCGACUUGCAUGUUUUAGCCAUGCCGCCAGCGUUCAAUCUGAGCCAUGAUCAAACUC